GUGCCAGCCGCCGCGGUAAAACGUAGGAGACAAGCGUUAUCCGGAGUUACUGGGCGUAAAGGGCGUGCAGGUGGCACCUUAAGUCUGUUGUGAAAGCGCCUGGCUUAACCGGGCGAGGCCAAUGGAGACUGAGGGGCUGGAGGACGGCGGAGGGGUGUGGAAUUCCGGGUGUAGUGGUGAAAUGCGUAGAGAUCCGGAGGAACACCAGAGGCGAAGGCGGCACCCUAAGCCGUACCUGACACUGAGACGCGACAGCACGGGGAGCAAACGGGAUUAGAUACCCCUGUAGUCC
rnacentral:rRNA from 1 species